rnacentral:lncRNA from 1 species
UGAAACUCUUCAAAUAUUAUUUGAACCCAGGUAUGAUAAGUUCUAGUAUUAAAUAUCAUAAAACUCUAACCUUACUGUGUGCUGAUAAUCCAUCAGUGUGGCACCCCAAAUCUAUUUGGCACUCCUGGGAGCCACACCCCCUGGGCCACCUGUGUGUCCCCCUCAGACAUGCUCCACUCCGUCCUGUACCUCGUGUGAGUCGCAUCCCCGCUCUCCCCUCCUAUGUCCACCAGCUCCAUACGCAGCAUCAUGUCUCUCCCCCAUUGGGCCAGAAACAACUGGGAUGCUUCACCACUAAGAUAGCUGGAGAGACCAGUCAGAUAGCUGGACCCCAAGCACGGGGCACGUGGAGGGGCCUGCACCACCUCCUCAUCCUCCUCCCGCCUCUCCUCAGCCUGUGGGGAUAAAGGGACAUCCACCAAUCCUAUUGGUUUAUCUGUCUGUCCGUCAUUAGAGGAGUCUGUGUUCCAAGGGCUCCCAUUGGUUGAGUCUGAGCUGUCCGGGCACUGUGUGACCUCUGAUAGGGAGAUGUCCCUGUGUGGCUUGUGUCUGCUGAGGGUGAGACAGCGCAGCGAGGUGAGACAACCAGUAAGCGACAACCACACAUCCUGUAUUUUCAGCACAGACAAUUGGCUGUCACAUGUUCUCUUGUCUUCUUUGUCCUUCUCUUUAGACAGUUUACAUUCCAUCUCUAGAUCUGACUUAACCAUCUCUUUGGCUGUCACAAGUCUAUUUGUGUCCUUUGCCGACAGUCCAUCUUUCAUAUUCCGUGUCUGGGAUGGGUUUUCUGCUUUUCCCCGGAAGCAGACACAGCUGAACCUCCGGCCUUUCUUCAUCAUAGUCACCACAAGAAGAAAGAGCUCCCUGAUGAAGCUGCCUGCUACGGUACAGAGCUGCGAUGAAACAAAUGUGGAAUGAAUCUUACCACAGAUACACAACACCCUAUGAGCAUUGCCUGCCCUGGUCCUUUAUGACAUAAUCACUGCAUCAGUGACAGUGACACAUCUCAAAUGGUGAGUGCCUUGAAGGACUGUGAUGUCACAUUGGAUGAUGUCAUCA